rnacentral:rRNA from 1 species
GUUUGAUCAUGGCUCAGGAUGAACGCUGGCGGCAGGCCUAAUACAUGCAAGUCGAACGGGAUCUUGAGUAGCAAUACUUGAGUGAGAGUGGCGCACGGGUGCGUAACACGUAUGCAACCUACCUUUAACUGGUACAUAACAUUUCGAAAGGGGUGCUAAUAUACCAUGUGAUUAUUGAGAGGCAUCUUUUGAUAAUUAAAGAUUAAUUGGUUAAAGCUGGGCAUGCGUCCCAUUAGCUAGUUGGUGAGGUAACGGCUCCCCAAGGCGACGAUGGGUAGGGGUUCUGAGAGGAAGAUCCCCCACACUGGUACUGAGACACGGACCAGACUCCUACGGGAGGCAGCAGUAAGGAAUAUUGGUCAAUGGGCGGAAGCCUGAACCAGCCAUGCCGCGUGCAGGAAGACGGCCCUAUGGGUUGUAAACUGCUUUUGUCCGGGGAUAAACCUAUCUACGCGUAGGGAGCUGAAGGUACCUGAAGAAUAAGCAUCGGCUAACUCCGUGCCAGCAGCCGCGGUAAUACGGAGGAUCCGAGCGUUAUCCGGAUUUACUGGGUUUAAGGGUGCGCAGGCGGACUGGUAAGUCAGGGGUGAAAAUCUACGGCUCAACUGUAGACGUGCCUUUGAUACUGCUGGACUGGAGUUAAGAUGGAGUGGGCGGAAUGUAUUGUGUAGCGGUGAAAUGCUUAGAUAUAACACAGAACACCGAUCGCGAAGGCAGCUCACUAAACUUUGACUGACGCUCAUGCACGAAAGCGUGGGGAUCAAACAGGAUUAGAUACCCUGGUAGUCCACGCUGUAAACGAUGAUCACUCGCUGUUGGCGAUAUACCGUCAGUGGCUAAGCGAAAGUGAUAAGUGAUCCACCUGGGGAGUACGACCGCAAGGUUGAAACUCAAAGGAAUUGACGGGGGCCCGCACAAGCGGAGGAGCAUGUGGUUUAAU